rnacentral:lncRNA from 1 species
GUUGUGCACAGCCUUGGAUUCGUAGUUGAUGAUGUGCUCGAGGGCGUUGAGGAACUCGAGGGCGUCCAUGGGGUUGGCGCGCUGCGACAUGCCGGUGAUGAUGGCGGUGAACUGUCGCAGCGGCAUCUUCAUGUUUCGCUCCUUGAGGUAGUCGGCAACCUGGAUGGACUCCGCGAGGUGGCACGCGCGCACCAGCCCCAUGAUCAAGGUUGUCGCCGUCUGCAAAUCGAUGCCGCCGACUUUGUGCUUGGCAUCGAAGACGGACAUGGCGGCGUCCACGUUGCCCGUCUCCAGGUGCCUUCGAAUCUCCUUCCCGGCGGUUUGCGCGAGCGUUCGGUUCACGCCGCUGCCG